rnacentral:rRNA from 1 species
GGAGUUAGCCGGUGCUUCUUCUGUGAGUGAUGUCCUUCCUGCCGGCUAUUAACCCGCAGGCCUUCUUCCUCACUGAAAGUGCUUUACAACCCGAAGGCCUUCUUCACACACGCGGCAUGGCUGGAUCAGGGUUGCCCCCAUUGUCCAAUAUUCCCCACUGCUGCCUCCCGUAGGAGUCUGGGCCGUGUCUCAGUCCCAGUGUGGCUGAUCAUCCUCUCAGACCAGCUACGGAUCGUCUCCUUGGUGAGCCGUUACCUCACCAACCAGCUAAUCCGACAUAGGCUCAUCCGAUAGCGCGAGGCCCGAAGGUCCCCCGCUUUCCCCCGUAGGGCGUAUGCGGUAUUAGCCUGGGUUUCCCCCAGGUUAUCCCCCACUACCGGGCAGAUUCCUAUGCAUUACUCACCCGUCCGCCGCUCGCCACCAGGGAGCAAGCUCCCCGUGCUGCCGCUCGACUUGCAUGUGUUAGGCCUGCCGCCAGCGUUCAAUCUGAGCCAGGAUCAAACUCUGA